ACACACUAAAGGGAUAGAAUACAGAGGAAAGUGUAAAAAGGCUCCCCUGUAAAGAAAGAGACUUUAACCUACACUUAUCCACAAUCUUGAAGAUACAAUUGAAAGGGGGGUGCAAACAUCAAUGAUCUUCUUUUCCAUUAAAACCAUGAUGAAGAGGAAGAACAUACACAUAACACUCAAACAGUAGGGUUACUUCUGAAUGAUCCAAGAGCUUUAACUGCACCUGCUCUUAAGAUGAAUUGAUGGUAGAAUGCAGCAAUGGCUGCCCCAAUAAAUGGUCCAACCCAAAAGAUCCACUGGUCACAC
rnacentral:lncRNA from 1 species